rnacentral:rRNA from 1 species
UUGCCAAACGGGUGAGUAAUACAUCGGAACGUGCCUAGUAGUGGGGGAUAACUACUCGAAAGAGUGGCUAAUACCGCAUGACAUCUAAGGAUAAAAGCAGGGGACCUUCGGGCCUUGUGCUACUACAGCGGCCGAUGGCAGAUUAGGUAGUUGGUGGGAUAAAAGCUUACCAAGCCAACGAUCUGUAGCUGGUCUGAGAGGACGAUCAGCCACACUGGGACUGAGACACGGCCCAGACUCCUACGGGAGGCAGCAGUGGGGAAUUUUGGACAAUGGGCGCAAGCCUGAUCCAGCAAUGCCGCGUGCAGGAUGAAGGCCUUCGGGUUGUAAACUGCUUUUGUACGGAACGAAGAGCUCUGGGUUAAUACCUCGGAGUCAUGACGGUACCGUAAGAAUAAGCACCGGCUAACUACGUGCCAGCAGCCGCGGUAAUACGUAGGGUGCGAGCGUUAAUCGGAAUUACUGGGCGUAAAGCGUGCGCAGGCGGUUUUGUAAGACAGUGGUGAGAUCCCCGG